GGCAAGGUAGCCAAGGUGGUCACGGCGGACGCCUGAAGAGCGCCAGAUCUCAGUUCGACUCUGAGCCUUGCCACCC
rnacentral:tRNA from 2 species